rnacentral:rRNA from 1 species
UACGGAGGGAGCUAGCGUUGUUCGGAAAUACUGGGCGUAAAGCGCACGUAGGCGGCGCAGCAAGUCAGGGGUGAAAUCCCGGGGCUCAACCCCGGAACUGCCCUUGAAACUGCAGUGCUAGAAUUCUGGAGAGGCGAGUGGAAUUCCGAGUGUAGAGGUGAAAUUCGUAGAUAUUCGGAAGAACACCGGUGGCGAAGGCGGCUUCCUGGACCGACACUGACGCUGAGGCGCGAAAGCUAGGGGAGCAAACGGG